GAUGAACGCUGGCGGCGUGCCUAAUACAUGCAAGUCGAGCGAACAGAUGAGGAGCUUGCUCCUCUGACGUUAGCGGCGGACGGGUGAGUAACACGUGGAUAACCUACCUAUAAGACUGGGAUAACUUCGGGAAACCGGAGCUAAUACCGGAUAAUAUAUUGAACCGCAUGGUUCAAUAGUGAAAGACGGUUUUGCUGUCACCUAUAGAUGGAUCCGCGCCGCAUUAGCUAGUUGGUACGGUACAGGCUUACCAAGGCAACGAUGCGUAGCCGACCUGAGAGGGUGAUCGGCCACACUGGAACUGAGACACGGUCCAGACUCCUACGGGAGGCAGCAGUAGGGAAUCUUCCGCAAUGGGCGAAAGCCUGACGGAGCAACGCCGCGUGAGUGAUGAAGGUCUUCGGAUCGUAAAACUCUGUUAUUAGGGAAGAACAAAUGUGUAAGUAACUAUGCACGUUUUGACGGUACCUAAUCAGAAAGCCACGGCUAACUACGUG
rnacentral:rRNA from 1 species